CCUAGCCCCAGCCUCUACUUCCUUGUGCUGGGAGAGUAUGACAAAGUUUCCUGUAAAAGCCACAUCUCAACUGAUGUUACGCACUGAAUGCUUGAUGCCCUGCUAAGUUUCUAUAUGGAAAUUCUUACCUCCAACAUGAUGAUGCAGAAGGGUGUGGCGUUUGGGAAGGAAUGAGAUCAUGAAGACAUCGGCCUCACAAAGGGAGUUAAGAUCCUCAUUGAAGGAGACCUCUGUGAGCUCCCUAGUUUCUUUCUCUGUGUUGCUACAAUAUGAAGAUGGCUGCGGGUGAGGACAUGAGCCCUCUACAGACAGGAAAUCUUUCAGAACAUGACUAGUGGACUUCCUGGACUCCAGAAUUAGAAGUAAUAUCUUCUGUUUGUUUAUCACCCACACAAUCACUGGUAUCUUUGUCACAGUAGCCCCAAAGGACAAAGACAAUCGACAGCAUGCUUUCUUUUUUCUACCUGACUCAAACUUCUAUCAAACUCAUAUGCAAAGUAAUAGAAAAGUUUGAGUCAAUGGGAUGCAUGUUUUGCUAAUAAUUUAGUUAAUGGAAGAAUUAUCUGCCUUAUUAACAAGUAUGCUCCUUUAAAUGUAAGAGAGCACAAAGCAACUGCUGGGAUGCUCUACUUGUCAAUCAUUGUGGCUGAGCUUAACAAAUGCUUGUCAUGUAUGCUGUCAUCAUGUCUCUUGCUAGAAUAGGCACUAUUAACUUGGUACAUUUUUCACCUAAACCACCUGUGGUCUCAGAGUCAUUGUCUGGUCUCACAAAUGACAUUAUUUCCACUGUACUAGGUCAUGACAAAAAUCUUAGCAAAAUUAACCAAAUAAUAUUCCACAAUUGAUUCUUAGAGAAAUAAGAACUCAGGCCAAUUUAGUGGGGAACCAUUUAACUUGAGCUCAAGGGAAAUGUGAUCAAUUAUCAGAAUUUUAGGAUGAAGAGAUUGAUAUUCAAACAGCAAGCUUGCCAAUGCUCACAUGUAAUCUUAGCACUUGGGAGGACAAAACUGAGAGGCUAACUAUAAAUUUGAGGGCAGCCUGGUCUCCAUAAUAGCAAGGUCCCAAACAGCUUAUACUAUACACAAAGAAAAAAUGAAAAAGAAAGAAGAAGAGAAAGAAUGAAAACAAAGAGCAAUAAAAUGAGGGAAAGGGGGUGGGGAGAGGCAAUGAAAGGAGCCAAGAGGAGAGGAGAGGAGAGGAGAGGAGAGGAGAGGAGAGGAGAGGAGAGGAGAGGAGAGGAGAGGAGAGGAGAGGAGAGGAGAGGAGAGGAGAGGAAUUCUGCAGUUUCUUCUAUAGUGACUACGUGGCUGGAACUGGUUAAUGAAAGAAGAGAAAGUGACUUUUGGACUAGUUUUCUUCUUCAAGGCACUGGACUGAGAGGCUGGGAAACUCGUCAAAGCUUUCUAGUUUCAUGCAGCGUCAAGAGCAAAAGUUGGAGUUUAGAGACAGCCAGUGGUUUAGGAUCCGGACUGCAACAUUCCUGGCUCUUAGUUUGGACUCCAAAAUCACUUCACCACAGGAGAUAGAUAGCUCUGAAAAGGCUGGAGCCCAGCUUCAGACCAUUCAAUUUAUGACUAGGCAGGUUAAGUUUCUCACCUUACCUGACUGUUGGUUCACAUUCCACAAGUUUUAUUAUGUUUUUAAUUAAAAAUGCCCAGAAAUCAAAUGUGCUUUCUUCUGGUAUACUUAUAGGCAAAACUAUUGAAAUUAAUAUAAAAUUUCUCAAGCAAUCAGAUGUUGCAAUAAUUAGGCAUGGCUUUAAAAUAAUUGUGCCUAGAACACUCAAUUAGAAAUUUAAACAAGAAAAUGAGACCAUAAGUCAAGUGGAAUAUCUACAAGUAGAAACUCUGGUAAAUGGAAUUAAGAGCUCAAUGGAUUAUAUAACAAUAGUUUAGAUAAUAAAGACUGAGGGGCCCUAAAUUAAUAGGAUGAUGAAUCAGAAGAUAGUAGAAAUGUAUGAAAUGCAGUUGUAAUGCCCAGUAGGCUUAUUGGAGCAGGAAGUUGAAAAGACAAUGCAGUUCAUUAGACAUUAUUAAGUCAAAGAUGAAUGUUGAAAUCCCUAUGGUAACCACAAAAAAUAUGUAAUGAAAUACUAUGACUAAAAGUAGUUAACGGAAAAGAAAUGAGAUAAUAAAAAUAAUAUGUUAGUGGCUUAAAAGAACAUAAAGAAAGUUGAAACACAAAAUAGAUGGGACAGCCAUAAAAUAAAUAAGUUAAUGUUUAAUUAUACAUAUUAAUUAUAUCUAAAAAAGGGACAAAUCUCAACUCUAUGUGGUAUAGAAGUCUGUGUUGUAAAGUAAAAUAAUUCAGAAAAAUUGAAAGCAGUAGAGUGGACAAUAUUAAAGCAUGCAAAUAUUAACCAUGAGAAACUCACAUUUGCAUUUUAUCAGAUGAAGUAGACAUUCAGGCAACAAGUUACUAGUUUUAUGAAAGUAUAUUUUAUAAUAAAAUGAUCAUUUCAAACCAAAGUUACCACAAACAUAAAUUCAUAUACCCCUGGUAAUAUGUAAGACAAUAUUUAAUAGAACAAAAUGGAUAAUUAGAAAACCUGAAAUAAUAGUAGAAAUUUUGACUCACAGCACAAGUGGCCAAAUAGAUUAAUAAGCCUGAAGAUUUGAAUAGCAUAGUUUAGACCAAUGGUUCUCAACUUGUGGGUUCUUAACCCUAAGGGGGUUGAAGGACCCAUUCCCAGGGCUUGUAUAUCAGAUAUACUGCAUAUCAGAUAUUUACAUUAUGAUUUAUAACAGUAGCAAAUUGAAGUUAUGAGGUAGCAAUAAAAAUAAUUUUAUGGUUGAAGGGUCCCACACCAUGAGGAAGUGUAUUAAAGGAUCACAGCAUUAGAAAGGCUGAGAACCACUGACUAAGAGAUGCCUGUGCAUACAACACUGUACAUGGCACAGUUGCCAAAACUGACCAUGAGCUGGACUAUGAAACUCCAACAUAUUCCACAUGAUUUAGAUGCAUAUGUUGUAUCGUUGAUAAGUGUAGCAGCAUUAAUCUAUUAGUUAAAAGCUAAUAUAUGAACAUUGUAGAUACUUAUGUAUUAGUUCUUAAAAUGUUAAAAGAUACAUGAAAAUAAUUUGAAGUUAUAUGAUAACAUUUUGAUUAAAAGUUCUGGGUUAUACUUAAAACCAUUCUUUAAGAGUCUUAAAUGCCUGAGCUAGGAAAAAAAAAAGAGAGGGGGACAAUCAAUGAAGUUGAAAAACCAGAAAUGAGGAUUUAGUGCUGUGAGAGAAGACUAGUGUGGUACAUUGAAUGCGCAUGGCCUCCAUAGCCCUGUAGAUUUGAAUGCUUAGUCCCUAGUUGUUAGAACUGUUUGGGAAGGAUUAGGAGGUGUGGCCUUGUUGGAGGAUGUGUGUCUCUAGGGGUGGCCUUUGAAGUUUCAAAAAUCUUAUAUCAUUCCCAGUGUGACUUUCUCUGCCUAGUGCUUGUGGCUCAAGAUGUCAGCUCAUGGCUACUGCCACAGCUUCAUGCCUGGCUGCCUCCUUUCAUGAUCCCUGCCUUGAUGGUCAUGGAUUUACCCUCUGAAACUGUAAAUUCCCAAUAAACUCCUUCCUUCUAUAA